rnacentral:lncRNA from 9 species
CCUGGAGGACGAGGCCCUCAGGAUGUCUCACCAGCCGGUCAGGAUGAACAUUCUGCUCCUCCUACAGGAGGACAAGGCUCUCAUGAGGACUCAGUAGCCGGGCAGGAUGAAAAUCCAGCUCCUCCUACAGGAGGACCAGGCUCUCAUGAGGACUCAAGAGCCGGACCCGAUGAAAAUCCUGCUCCUCCUGCUGGACUACGAGACUCUCAUGAGGACUCACUAGCUAGGCGGGAUGAAAAUCCUGUUCCUCCUCCUGAAGGACGAGGCUCUCAUGAUGUCUCACCAGCCGGGCAGGUGGAACAUCCUGCUCCUACUACAGGAGAACGAGGCUCUCAUGAGGACUCACCAGCUGGGCAGGAUGAAUACCCGGCUCCUCCUACAGGAGGACGAGGCUCUCAUGCAGAUGCACUGGCCCUGCCGGAUGAAUAUCCUUCUCCUCCUCCUGGAGGACGAAGCUCUCAUGAGGACUCAUCAGCCGGGCCCAAUGAAAAUCCUGCUCUUCCUCCUGGAUUACGAGGCUCUCAUGACGACUCAGCAGCCGUGCAGGAUGUAAAUCCUGCUCCUCCUCCUGGAGGACGAGGCUCUCAUGAGGACUCAGAAGCCAGGCAGGAUGAACAUCCUGCUCCUCCUCCUGGAAGACGAGGCUCUCAGGAGGACUCACGAGCUGGGAAGGAUGAAAAUCUUGUUCCUCCUCCUGGAGGACGAGGCUCUCAUGAUGUCUCACCAGCCGGGCAGGUUGAACCUCCUUCUCCUCCUCCAGGAGGACGAGGCUCUCAUGAUGUCUCACCAGCCGGGCAGGUUGAACAUCUUGCUCCUCCUACAGGAGGGCGAGGCACUCAUGAAGACUCCCCAGCGGGGCAGAUUGAAUAUCCUGCUCCUCCUCCAAGAAGACGAGGCCCUCAUGAUGUCUCUACAGCCAGGCAGGAUGAACAUGCUGCUCCUCCUACAGGAAGACGAGGCUCUCAGGAGAACUCUCCAGCCGGGCAGGAUGAAAACACGGCUCCUCCAACAGGAGGACGAUGCUCUCAUUCAUACGCACCAGCCCAGCAGGAUGAAUAUCCUGCUCCUCCUACAGGAGGACGAGGCUCUCAGGAGGACUCCCCAGCCGGGCAGGUUGAAAAUCCUGGUGCUCCUCCUGGAGGACGAGGCCCUCAGGAGGACUCACGGGACGGGAAGGAUGAAAAUCCUGCUCCUCCUCCUGGAGGGCGAGGCUCUCAGGAGGACUUACCAGCUGAGCCGGAUGAACAACCUGCUCCUCCUCCAGGAGGACCAGGUUCUCAGGAGGACUCACGAGCCAGGAAGGAUGAAAACACUGUUCCUCCUCCUGGAGGACGAGGUUCUCAUGAUGUCUCGCCAGCCGGGCAGAAUGAACAUCCUGCUCCUCCUACAGAAGGACGAUGCUCUCGGGAGAACUCUCCAGCCAGGCAGGAUGCAUAUCCGGCUCCUCCAACAGGAGGACGAAUCUCUCAUGCAGACACACCAGCCCAGCAGGAGGAAAAUCCUGCUUCUCCUGCGGUUGGACGAGGCUCUCAGGAGGACUCACCAGCCUGGAAGGAUGAAAAACCUCCUCCUGCUGGAGGACCAGGCUCUCAGGAGGACUCACUAGCUGGCCGGGAGGAAAAUGCUUCUCCUCCUCCUGGAGGACAAGGCUCUCAGGUGGACUCACCAGCCAGGCAGAAUGAAAAUCCUGCUCCUCCUCCUGGAGGCCAAGGCUCUCAGAAGGACUCCUCAGCCGGGAAGGAUGAAAAUCUGGUUAAUCCUCCUGGAGGACGAGGCUCUCAGGAUGUCUCACCAGCCGGGCAGGAUGAACAUUCUGCUCCUCCUACAGGAGGACAAGGCUCUCAUGAGGACUCACCAGCCGGACCCAAUGAAAAUCCUGCUCCUCCUCCUGGAGGACAAGGAUCUCAGGUGGACCCACCCGCCAGGCAGGAUGAAAAACCUGCUCCUCCUCCUGGAGGACAAGGCUCU